rnacentral:rRNA from 1 species
GACGAACGCUGGCGGCGUGCUUAACACAUGCAAGUCGAACGGAAAGGCCCUGCUUUUGUCGGGUGCUCGAGUGGCGCACGGGUGAGUAACACGUGAGUAACCUGCCCUUGACUUUGGGAUAACUUCAGGAAACUGGGGCUAAUACCGGAUAGGAGCUCCUGCUGCAUGGUGGGGGUUGGAAAGUUUCGGCGGUUGGGGAUGGACUUGCGGCUUAUCAGCUUGUUGGUGGGGUAGUUGCUUACCAAGGCUUUGAAGGGUAGCCGGCCUGAGAGGGUGACCGGCGACAUUGGGACUGAGGUACGGACCAGAGUCCUACGGGAGGCAGCAGUGGGGAAUAUUGCACAAUGGGCGGAAGCCUGAUGCAGCAACGCCGCGUGCGGGAUGACGGCCUUCGGGUUGUAAACCGCUUUCGCCUGUGACGAAGCGUGAGUGACGGUAAUGGGUAAAGAAGCACCGGCUAACUACGUG